rnacentral:piRNA from 1 species
UUUCCUUGCACUCAGGUUCUUACAGUAGGC